AAACGAAUAGUGGGGAUAUUAUAUGCUACUAAUUUCAUUAACUUUGGACUAGUAGUUAUAAUAGGACAAUUUAUUUGAUUGUGAUUAAAUAAAUAAAAUUGAUGAGACCUUAAAAUCCCUCAACCAAACAUAUAUUAAGUUGAAAGCGUAAGAGUGCUUAGAACACUUUUUCGUGGCCUUCCACCGUGGUAGGCUCCAAG
rnacentral:lncRNA from 1 species